CCUACGGGGGGCAGCAGUGAGGAAUAUUGGUCAAUGGACGAGAGUCUGAACCAGCCAAGUAGCGUGAAGGAUGACUGCCCUAUGGGUUGUAAACUUCUUUUAUAAAGGAAUAAAACGAGGCACGUGUGCCUUUUUGCAUGUACUUUAUGAAUAAGGAUCGGCUAACUCCGUGCCAGCAGCCGCGGUAAUACGGAGGAUCCGAGCGUUAUCCGGCUUUAUUGGGUUUAAAGGGAGCGUAGAUGGGUUGUUAAGUCAGUUGUGAAAGUUUGCGGCUCAACCGUAAAAUUGCAAUUGAUACUGGCAGUCGUGAGUACAGUUGAGGUAGGCGGAAUUCGUGGUGUAGCGGUGAAAUGCUUAGAUAUCACGAAGAACCCCGAUUGCGAAGGCAGCUUACUAAACUGUGACUGACAUUGAUGCUCGAAAGUGUGGGUAUCAAACAGGAUUAGAUACCCCAUUAGUC
rnacentral:rRNA from 1 species